GUUGGGGGAAGGACCCGAGAAGGCCCUCCUAGGUUCGGGCUCCCAUCCCCAGACCCCUGGGGCGCGGGAGAAGCGCGCCCGUUCCCCCACCCUGCGAGCACCUAGAAGAGAGGGCGAAACUCUCGGCUUUGGCGGACUCCACAGGUAGAAGCCAUGUCUAUUUGGGGGUUUGCCUCCCCGACUCCCGACCGCUUUGCGGUGUCUGCGGAGGCCGAGGACAAGGUUCGGGAACAGCAGGCUCGCUUGGAGCGUAUCUUCAGCGUAGGAAUGAGCGUCCUCUCCAAAGACUGCCCAGAGAACCCUCACAUCUGGUUACAGCUUGAGGGCCCCAAGGAGAACAUCUGCAGAGCCAAGGAAUACCUGAAGGGGCUCUGCAGUCCAGAAC
rnacentral:lncRNA from 1 species